AUUGAACGCUGGCGGCAGGCCUAACACAUGCAAGUCGAGCGGGGGUAGCAAUACCCUAGCGGCGAACGGGUGAGGAAUGCUUGGGAAUCUGCCUGGUAGUGGGGGAUAACGUUCCGAAAGGAACGCUAAUACCGCAUACGUCCUACGGGAGAAAGGGGGGGAUCUUCGGACCUCUCGCUAUCAGAUGAGCCCCAGCGAGAUUAGGUAGUUGGUGAGGUAAAGGCUAACCAAGGCGACGAUCCCUAGCUGGUCUGAGAGGAUGAUCAGCCACACUGGAACUGAGACACGGUCCAGACUCCUACGGGAGGCAGAAGUGGGGAAUAUUGGACAAUGGGCGAAAGCCUGAUCCAGCCAUGCCGCGUGUGUGAAGAAGGCCUUCGGGUUGUAAAGCACUUUAAGCGAGGAGGAAGGUUCGUCACCUAAUACGUGACGGAAUUGACGUUACUCGCAGAAUAAGCACCGGCUAACUCUGUGCCAGCCGCCGCUGUAACAC
rnacentral:rRNA from 1 species